UACAGAGGGUGCAAGCGUUGUUCGGAAUUAUUGGGCGUAAAGGGCGCGUAGGCGGUGCUAUAAGUCUGUGGUGAAAUCUCCGGGCUUAACCCGGAAACUGCCUUUGAUACUAUCUGUCUUGAAUAUGGUGGAGGUAAGCGGAAUAUGUCAUGUAGCGGUGAAAUGCUUAGAGAUGACAUAGAACACCCAUUGCGAAGGCAGCUUACUACGCCUAUAUUGACGCUGAGGCACGAAAGCGUGGGGAUCAAACAGG
rnacentral:rRNA from 1 species